AGAGAUCAAGUUAUGUAUAUUUAGGUAAAAAGGCAGUUAAAUAUAAAAUAACUUAGAUUUACUAAUUUUUUAUAAAAAGGUAAAAUUUAAACAUAAAUAAAUAAUUUAGUGUAAGUCAAUUAAAGUUGAAUCUGCGAUAGCCUUGAGGGAAACUGGGAUUAGAUACCCCAUUAUUCUUGGUCGUAAAUGAAUGAUGAUUUACCAGAGUACUAUGAAUUAGCUUAAUAAAAUUUAAAACUCAAAGGGCUUGGCGGUGUUUUAGACCUCUCAGGGGAACCUGUCUCAUAAUCGACAAUCCACGCUACACCUAACCUCUAUUUGCAAUUCAGUUUGUAUACCGUCGUCGUCAGGUAACUUUUAAAAAACAAGAAGUUGGCAAAAGAAUGAUUAUAAAUUUAAACGUCAGAUCAAGGUGCAGCCUAUAUAGAGGUGAGGAUGGGUUACAAUUAAAAGUUAUAAUUACGAAUAAGAUAAUGAAAUACUUUUUCUA
rnacentral:rRNA from 1 species